GCCCCGUGGGACUGCUGGGUGGUCACUUGUUUGUCACACAAGAUAUCAGGCGGGUUCAAUUCCCGUACGGGGCGC
rnacentral:tRNA from 1 species